AAAUUGGAUCAAAAUGGAGCUAAUAGGGGAAAAACUAAAGUUGCGGAUUAGUCCCUAAAGAAUCCACUCAUUUUGUGUUUUGAAUAGGUUAUAUUGAGAUCCAACAUCUAUUGUGGAUCAUCGAGUAAUAUAUGUCUCUACGGAGACUUUGGUGUGGUAGAGGGAUGUAUUUGAAAAUAUUUAUACAUUUGAUACCUAUGAGCUUUACAUUUCAGUGCCUUGAUAUGGUGUAGUUUAAGCUCUUACGAACUAUUUGGUGUGAUGUAGUUCACUCGUGUAUCCAAGUCCAUUUUACUAGGGUUCCAUUGAGGUGAACCAUUAUAAUUGAAAUUGGAAACUUGAAAAUAUAAUGAAAUGGAUUCGAUAAA